UAGAGAGAGUUAGCUUUAGCAGUGCGGAGAGCCUCCGUGACACAGAGAAGAGCAGUCUCAGUUGAAUGACCAGUCUUGAAACCUGACUGAUUUGGAUUAAGAAGGUCAUUCUGAGAGAGAUAGCAGGAGAGCUGGCCAAGGACGGCACGUUCAAGAGUUUUGGAGAGAAAAGAAAGAAGGGAUACUGGUCUGUAGUUGUUGACAUCGGAGGGAUCGAGUGUAGGUUUUUUCAGAAGGGGUGCAACUCUCGCUCUCUUGAAGACGGAAGGGACGUAGCCAGCGGUCAAGGAUGAGUUGAUGAGCGAGGUAAGAAGGUCUCCGGAAAUGGUC
rnacentral:lncRNA from 1 species